GUGCCAGCAGCCGCGGUAAUACGGAGGGUGCGAGCGUUAAUCGGAAUUACUGGGCGUAAAGGGCGCGUAGGCGGUCGCGCAAGUCGGGUGUGAAAGCCCCGGGCUCAACCUGGGAAUUGCAUUCGAUACUGCGUAACUAGAGUCUGGUAGAGGGAAGCGGAAUUCCGCAUGUAGCGGUGAAAUGCGUAGAUAUGCGGAGGAACACCAGUGGCGAAGGCGGCUUCCUGGACCAAGACUGACGCUGAGGCGCGAAAGCGUGGGGAGCAAACAGGAUUAGAUACCCUGGUAGUCCACGCCCUAAACGAUGAGGACUAGACGUUGGGGGGAUAAAACCCUUUAGUGUCGCAGCUAACGCGUGAAGUCCUCCGCCUGGGGAGUACGGCCGCAAGGUUGAAACUCAAACGUAGUAAGUUGGCGG
rnacentral:rRNA from 1 species